rnacentral:rRNA from 1 species
CAGCCCUAAACGGUGCGCGUUAGGUGUAUCGGUGACCACGAGUCACCGAGGUGCCGAAGGGAAACCGUGAAACGUGCCGCCUGGGAAGUACGGUCGCAAGGCUGAAACUUAAAGGAAUUGGCGGGGGAGCACCACAACGGGUGGAGCUUGCGGUUUAAUUGGAUUCAACGCCGGAAAUCUUACCGGGACCGACAGCAACAUGAAGGCCAGGCUGAAGACUUUGCCGGAUUAGCUGAGAGGAGGUGCAUGGCGUAGUCGUGU